UACGAAGGGGGCUAGCGUUGCUCGGAAUUACUGGGCGUAAAGCGCACGUAGGCGGUUCGUUAAGUCGGAUGUGAAAGCCCUCGGCUCAACUGAGGAAGUGCACCCGAAACUGGCGAGCUUGAGUACGAAAAGAGGAUCGCGGAAUUCCCGGUGUAGAGGUGAAAUUCGUAGAUAUCGGGAGGAACACCGGUGGCGAAGGCGGCGAUCUGGGUCGAUACUGACGCUGAGGUGCGAAAGCGUGGGGAGCAAACAGG
rnacentral:rRNA from 1 species